AUUGAACGCUGGCGGCAGGCCUAACACAUGCAAGUCGAGCGAGCGGCGGACGGGUGAGUAAUGUAUGGGGACUGCCCGAUAGCGGGGGAUAACUACUGGAAACGGUGGCUAAUACCGCAUACUAUCGGAUAACCCAUAUGGGAUUAGAUAGUAGGUGGGGUAAAGGCUCACCUAGGCGACGAUCUCUAGCUGGUCUGAGAGGAUGAUCAGCAAAACGGGGACUGAGACACUGCCCAAAGUCCUACGGAGGCAGCAGUGGGGAAUAUUGCACAAUGGUCGAAAGCCUGAUGCAGCCAUGCCGCGUGUAUGAAGAAGGCCUUAGGGUUGGAAAGUACUUGCAGCGGUGAGGCGUUACCCGCAGAAGAAGCACCGGCUAACUCCGUGCCAGCAGCCGCGGUAAUUC
rnacentral:rRNA from 1 species